CGUUCUCAGGGCGGGGUGAAAAUCCCCACCGGCGGUAAGCAGAAAUGCAAGCCCGCGAGCGCCUUCGCAAACCGAAGGGUCAGCAGAUCUGGUGCAAUUCCAGAGCCGACGGUGACAGUCCGGAUGAAAGAGAAC
rnacentral:ncRNA from 1 species